rnacentral:lncRNA from 1 species
CAAAUUUUGCUUGUUAUAGAAAAAAUAGAGAAACUUAUUUUGAAAAAAAACGUGAACAUAAAAGGCAUCCAAAACAUGAUAAAACAUUUUUUUUAAAAAAGGAUGAACAAAAUAUGAAUAACAAUUUUCAACUAACUGAAUGUUCUUCAAAUAAUUUACAUAAUAAACAUGCGGAAGAGCCAACGAAUGGUCAGAUUGAACAAAAUUGGAAAACAAAUUACGAACAUGUGUUACCUCUUAUUCAGAAGAGUAGUAAGAGUGACGUAAAUAAUAAGCAACUUAAAUUAUUUACUAGUGAAUUUUCAAAGCGGAAAAUACAGAACGAUAUACACCAAGACAUACAUAAAAACAUAAAGCAUUACACACAAUACGAUAUACAACAAGAUACAGAACAAGAAAUGGAUAUACAAAUCAGAGGGGUACCACAAAUAAAACAUCAGUACGAUGAAACGGUUGAAUUGGUUAAAAAAGAAAGAUUGUGUGACAAUGACUCAUGCAACACUUACGAUCUUGUGGAAAAAAUAAAUUAUUAUAAACUCACUUUAUGUGAGUAUAAACGCUUAUUAAAAAAGCAAAACACAUCUAAUACAAAAUUAAAAGAAAUACAAAAACUACUAUCAUAUGAAAUCGAAAAAAACGAAAUAAUUAAUCAAAAAUAUAUUGAUUUGUUGAGUAAAGUUAGGGAUGUAACAAAAAAAAAAGAGGAACAGGGACAUCGACAUCGACAUGAACAGAAAGAACAAGAAAUAAUAUCAACAUAUAAACAAACAAUUGAAUAUAAAACAACAUUAAAAAUACAAGAGCUUCUAAAUGAAAUUAAAUUUCUUACACAGGAUAUCGAAGUGUUAAAAGACCAUCAAAACUUAUUACAAAAAGAUGUUAAUGACAAGAAUAAAAUAAUAUCACAUUUGAUAAAAAAACAUGCAUUGAAUGAGGAACAUUUUAGACUUGAUACAAGCUUCGAAAUUUAUAAUGACCAACUGACAUACAACGAAAUGAAAAAAGUAAUGGAAGAAACCCUUAUUGAAAAUAUUAGGCUCCGCAAUGAUCUCAUGACUUUGGCUAAAAGUGUUAACUAAAGAAAAAAAAAAAAAAAAAAAAAAAACGCCUAACGCGAUGUGCAUUAUUAUGACAUGCGCCUUUUUUUUUAAUUGAUUCAAGUUUUGUACAUGCAUAUGUAUAUAUAUAUAUAUGCAUACACAUAUAUGCAUGUACCUAUAUUACAUUUCAUUUGUUAUAUUUAUUUUAUUUUUUUUUGUUAGCUCUUAUAUA